rnacentral:rRNA from 1 species
UUUUAUUGCUAAUUUAGAUUUAUUAAUCUUUAGCUAAUUUAUUAAUAUGUUAUAUUGAAUAUGAAAGUAUAGGUGAUUAUGAUUAAAUUAGUAUAAUUUUAAUGUAUAAUUAUUUACAUUUUUAAGAUUAAAUUAAGGAAUUCGGCAAAUAUUGUUUUCUGCCUGUUUAUUAAAAACAUGUCUUUUUGUAAUUAUUUGAAGUCGGGCCUGCCCUAUGAUUAUUUUAAUGGCCGCGGUAUUUUGACCGUGCAAAGGUAGCAUAAUAAUUAGUUUCUUAAUUAGAAGCUGGUAUGAAUGGUUUGACAAGAAAAUUUCUGUCUCUAUUUAAUUAUUAGAAUUUAACUUUUGAGUUAAAAGGCUUAAAUGUUUUUAAAAGACGAGAAGACCCUAUAGAAUUUUAUAUUUAAUUUAAUUAAAAUUUUAUGGUUUAUUUAUUUUUAAUUGGGUUUGGUAUUUUGUUGGGGUGAUGGAAAAAUUUAAUUAACUUUUUCUUAUUUUAUUCAUUAAUUUAUGA